rnacentral:rRNA from 1 species
AUACGUAGGUGGCAAGCGUUGUCCGGAAUUACUGGGUGUAAAGGGCGUGUAGGCGGGGAUGCAAGUCAGAUGUGAAAUUCCGGGGCUCAACCCCGGCACUGCAUCUGAAACUGUGUCUCUUGAGUGCUGGAGAGGAAAGCGGAAUUCCUAGUGUAGCGGUGAAAUGCGUAGAUAUUAGGAGGAACACCAGUGGCGAAGGCGUCUGUCUGGACAGUAACUGACGCUGAGGCGCGAAAGCGUGGGUAGCGAACAGGAUUAGAUACCCUGGUAGUCCACGCCGUAAACGAUGGAUACUAGGUGUAGGAGGUAUCGACCCCUUCUGUGCCGGAGUUAACACAAUAAGUAUCCCACCUGGGGAGUACGGCCGCAAGGUUGAAACUCAAAUGAAUUGACGGGG